AACGAACGCUGGCGGCAUGCCUAACGCAUGCAAGUCGUACGAGACCUUCGGGUCUAGUGGCGCACGGGUGCGUAACGCGUGGGAACCUGCCCUUAGGUUCGGAAUAACUCCCCGAAAGGGGUGCUAAUACCGGAUAAUGUCUUCGGACCAAAGAUUUAUCGCCUUUGGAUGGGCCCGCGUUGGAUUAGCUAGUUGGUAGGGUAAAAGCCUACCAAGGCGACGAUCCAUAGCUGGUCUGAGAGGAUGAUCAGCCACACUGGGACUGAGACACGGCCCAGACUCCUACGGGAGGCAGCAGUGGGGAAUAUUGGACAAUGGGCGAAAGCCUGAUCCAGCAAUGCCGCGUGAGUGAUGAAGGCCUUAGGGUUGUAAAGCUCUUUUACCCGGGAUGAUAAUGACAGUACCGGGAGAAUAAGCUCCGGCUAACUCCGUG
rnacentral:rRNA from 1 species